UACGGAGGGUGCGAGCGUUGUUCGGAAUUACUGGGCGUAAAGCGCGUGUAGGCGGCUAUUUAAGUUUGGUGUGAAAGCCCGGGGCUUACCCCCGGAAGCGCACUGGAUACUGGAUGGCUAGAGUACUGGAGAGGAGGGUGGAAUUCCUGGUGUAGCGGUGAAAUGCGUAGAUAUCAGGAAGAACACCGGUGGCGAAGGCGGCCCUCUGGACAGAUACUGACGCUGAGACGCGAAAGCGUGGGGAGCAAACAGG
rnacentral:rRNA from 1 species